rnacentral:lncRNA from 1 species
CAGGGUUCUCGCUAAGACGCGUAUACGCGUCCUGGACGCAUGGAAAUCAAGCUGGACGCGUCAUUUUUGAAACACGUGAGUCCCUGGGACGCAUCCUCGUUUUAUCCCCUGAGUCCCAGACACAUCGUUUUCCAUAGAAGAUUCUUGAUUCCGACUUUGUUUUGACAGGAAACUAUACCGGAAGUUGACAUUUUUAUGAUAUGCGCGG